rfam:Triticum aestivum genome assembly, contig: Triticum_aestivum_CS42_TGACv1_scaffold_061124_1DL
CUUAUAUUUCAUCCGUCCCAAAAUUCUUGUCUUAGGUUUGUCUAGAUACGGAUGUAUUAGUAUUUGAUAUAUCCGUAUUUAGACAAACCUAAGACAAGAAUUUUAGGACGGAGGGAGUAUAAC